GUCAUCUCUCGCUCAAUCCGCCGGUGUCCUCCGUCGCAUUUUCCAGCGUCCGACACCGGAUAAUUCCACCGUCGACUGGUCAACUGAUCACCAAUCAUGCCGGAAGAAACCAUUCCGAUAGACUACGUCAUGGAAGCCGCCUCCGGACCUCACUUCUCUGGCCUCAGACUCGAUGGACGUCUCUCCUCUCCGCCGUCUUCCUCAACUUCCUCUCCGGCUCACCGCUCUUCUCUUUCCGCUUCCUUUGCACAGGCCGAUGCCAACUCUCCUAAGCAGCCCUUCGUCAUCGGUGUUUCUGGAGGUACCGCUUCUGGGAAGACGACGGUGUGUGACAUGAUUAUCCAGCAACUUCAUGAUCACAGGGUUGUGCUGGUCAAUCAGGACUCCUUUUACCGCGGGUUGACAGCUGAGGAACUAGAACGCGUGCACGAGUAUAACUUUGAUCAUCCUGAUUCUUUUGACACCGAGCAGCUUGUAGAUUGCAUCGAGAAGCUUAAGAGUGGCCAACCUUACCAUGUCCCAAUUUAUGAUUUUAAAACUCAU
rnacentral:misc_RNA from 1 species